CCUACGGGGAGCAGCAGUGAGGAAUAUUGGUCAAUGGGCGCGAGCCUGAACCAGCCAAGUCGCGUGAGGGAGAACGGCCCUACGGGUUGUAAACCUCUUUUGCCGGGGAGCAACGGGCGUCACGUGUGGCGCCACUGAGAGUACCCGGAGAAAAAGCAUCGGCUAACUCCGUGCCAGCAGCCGCGGUAAUACGGAGGAUGCGAGCGUUAUCCGGAUUUAUUGGGUUUAAAGGGUGCGUAGGCGGAUCGUUAAGUCAGUGGUCAAAUUGAGGGGUUCAACCCCUUCCCGCCAUUGAAACUGGCGUUCUUGAGUGGAAGAGAAGUAUGCGGAAUGCGUGGUGUAGCGGUGAAAUGCAUAGAUAUCACGCAGAACCCCGAUUGCGAAGGCAGCAUGCCGGCUUCCGACUGACGCUGAAGCACGAAAGCGUGGGGAUCGAACAGGAUUAGAUACCCCAGUAGUC
rnacentral:rRNA from 1 species